CAGCCGCCGCGGGAAUACGUAGGGUGCGAGCGUUAAUCGGAAUUACUGGGCGUAAAGCGUGCGCAGGCGGUUAUAUAAGACAGAUGUGAAAUCCCCGGGCUCAACCUGGGACCUGCAUUUGUGACCGUAUAGCUAGAGUACGGUAGAGGGGGAUGGAAUUCCGCGUGUAGCAGUGAAAUGCGUAGAUAUGCGGAGGAACACCGAUGGCGAAGGCAAUCCCCUGGACCCGUACUGACGCUCAUGCACGAAAGCGUGGGGAGCAAACAGGAUUAGAUACCCCCGUAGUCCCUGUCUCUUAUAC
rnacentral:rRNA from 1 species